rnacentral:rRNA from 1 species
UGAGUACGAGAUGCUACGGCAUCGAAGCAGUCUAUGUCAUACUUCCAAGAAAAGCUUGCAAUGUCAUAAACAAAUAAUGCCUGUACCAUAACCGACACAGGUGGGUAGGUAGAGUAUACUAAGGGGCGCGAGAUAACUCUCUCUAAGGAACUCGGCAAAAUGACUCCGUAACUUCGGGAGAAGGAGUGCCUUAUUUUUAUAAGGUUGCAAUAACAAGAUCCAAGCAACUGUUUACCAAAAACACAGGUCUCCGCUAAGUCGUAAGACGAUGUAUGGGGGCUGACGCCUGCCCAGUGCCAGAAGGUUAAAGAAGUUGGUUAGCAUUAGCGAAGCUGAUAACUGAAGCCCUGGUGAACGGCGGCCGUAACGAUAACGGUCCUAAGGUAGCGAAAUUCCUUGUCGGGUAAGUUCCGACCCGCACGAAAGGCGUAAUGAUUUGGAUACUGUCUCGGAGAGGGGCUCGGUGAAAUAGACUUGUCUGUGAAGAUGCGGACUACCUGCACCUGGACAGAAAGACCCUAUGAAGCUUUACUGUAACUUGAGAUUGAAAUUGGACUUUAUCUGCGCAGUAUAGGUGGGAGACGUUGAAAAUAUUCUUGCGGGAAUAUUGGAGUCAUCAGUGAGAUACCACUCUUAUAAUGUUAGAUUUCUAACUUUGUAUCAUUAUCUGGUCAAAGAACAGUUUCAGGCGGGCAGUUUGACUGGGGCGGUCGCCUCCCAAACGGUAACGGAGGCGCACAAAGGUUUCCUCUGAACGUGUAGAAAUCGUAUCUAGAGUGUAAAGGCAUAAGGAAGCUUGACUGUGAGACCUACAAGUCGAGCAGGGACGAAAGUCGGUCUUAGUGAUCUGACGGUGCUGAGUGGAAAGGCCGUCACUCAACGGAUAAAAGUUACUCUAGGAUAACAGGCUGAUCUCCCCCAAGAGUUCACAUCGACGGGGAGGUUUGGCACCUCGAUGUCGGCUCAUCGCAUCCUGGGGCGGUAGUACGUCCCAAGGGUUGGGCUGUUCGCCCAUGAAAGCGGUACGCGAGCUGGGUUCAGAACGUCGUGAGACAGUUCGGUCCAUAUCCGGUGUAGGCGUUAGAAUAUUGAGAGGAGCCUUCUUUAGUACGAGAGGACCGAGAAGGACAUACCUCUGGUGUACCAGUUAUCGUGCCAACGGUAAACGCUGGGUAGCCAUGUAUGGAGAGGAUAACCGCUGAAAGCAUCUAAGUGGGAAGCCCACCUCAAGAUAAGUAUUCUCU